AAUGCUAAAGGUAAUACGGCUGAACCGCAGAAAGAAUCACCUUCUCCAGCAUCAGCGGCCAGUGCCAUGGGACGUAUUUCUGCCAUGAUUCCUCCUCCACCCAAACCUGUUUCAGAUGGUGCUGAAGAUGAAGAUGACUGGGAGUAAGAGUGUGAGCAUGCUUCAGACCUCAAUGAAGGAUAUGAAAUAAGCAGAAUAUUAAAAGUUUGUCUCAGCUGUACUUGAUACUACAGUGGACCUGAAAAUCUUGAUUUUUUAUUAGGGUGAACAACUUAUCAAAAGUAUUAAUUGUACGUCAGAUGUACUUGGCUGCUACAGUGGACCUGAACAUCUUGAUUUUUUAUUAGGGUGAACAACUUAUUAAAUGUAUUAAUUGUACAUCGGAUGUACUUGGCUGCUACAGUGGAACUGAACAUCUUGAUGUUCUGUUGAGAAUUGUAUUGUAUAUUUAUUCUUCUAACUCUCAAAUUAGCAAUUUGAAUUAAAUGUACUGUUGGCCUCUCUGAAAAUUUGUUAGUGUUUUCAGCACGUCAUACAAAGUGUUGGUCUGUUAUGCCUGGCUACUUUUGUACAAAGUACCUUACAGUAAUUGUUGUUAUUGUUAAGUAUAUAACUGUAUAAAAUAGCCCAGAUAUGUUGCAUGAUCUACCUUAAAGCAAGAGAUACAGUACCAGUGUUGUAUUUUACAAGAAGACCUGGAUAAUAAUAUAUUUAACGAAUUCUUGCUGCUCAAUAGAAGAACAUUUCUAAUGAAUAAAGUGAUAAAUGUUGCUUGUUAAA
rnacentral:lncRNA from 1 species